rnacentral:miRNA from 1 species
AAUUUCACUCGCAGCAGGUUCUG